GACCCCUCCAAAGACUCCAUCCUCUUCGGACCACAAGACAAGGGUAAGGGUAGCUCUUCAAAGUGGACGCAGCAGCAAAGAAGGAAUAAUAAAGAAAGAUGAAAAAGCUCAUCAGCUCAGGUGAGGCUGAUAGAAUCUUGAUAUCUGUAUCUGCAAGUAGCAAUCUCAAUCUAUCCUUUUAUGGGUUUAUUUAUUAUUGUUGAGUAGGGUUUGGGGUUUUUGUAGGGAGAAAAUUUAUCUGAUAUAUCAAGAAGCUGGAAUCCUGCAGAAAACGGUUCCCCAAUUGCCAUAACAGCAAUAUUACCGUUUCUUUUCUUGCUUUUCUCCUUAUCUUUGAGACAAAGAAGAUGCUCUUUCUGUGUCUUUUUCUAGUUGGAAUCUUUACAACAUUUCUUUGAACUCAAAAGAAACCUCUACAUUUCUGUUUCUGCCUCGAUUCAAACACACAAAUCCCUUCAAAACCUCUGGCCGUUAGUGGUUAAAGAAAAGACAAAGGAAAACUCUUCAACUGUGUUACCAAGAAUAUGCAUCCUCGUCUGCUCGAUGGAGAGCUAAGCGUGGCACCCGCCAAUGAGAACAGAACACGAGAUUCUUACAUUAGCGAUACCAAUUUCGACGCGAGCACGGUGAUUAUAUUGGCCGCUUUAUUGUGUGCGCUGAUUGGUGCUUUAGGAUUGAACUCUAUUGUGCGUUGCGCUUUGCGCUGUAGCAGAAAUUUUACCCUCGAGACGCCAGAGCAAGCCGCAGCUCGUUUGGCUGCCACAGGGCUUAAGAAACGGGAUUUGCGCCAGAUCCCAGUGGCGGUUUAUGGGACCGGGGUGAAUAUUCCGGCAACGGAGUGCCCAAUUUGCUUAGGGGAGUUCGCUAAUGGAGAAAAAAUUCGGGUGCUUCCUAAAUGCAAUCAUGGAUUCCAUGUGAGUUGCAUAGACACAUGGCUUUUGUCACACUCCUCCUGCCCCAAUUGCCGGCUCUCGUUGCUUGAACACACGACGGGCGGUUCAGGUGCAGCUCCACAACAACAGCAUGCAGCAUGGGCGCCGGAGAAUGAUCGCCGACGACAAGGUAAUGUUGUUGUCGUUUUUGAAUGAGCAAAUUGAUAUUUGUGGGUUUUAGAAAGAUGCGGUAAUUGCGGUGGUGGAGGAUGGAAAUGGAAAUGGAAAUGUUUCUAUUUUAGAAGUUAUUUGUGUAAUUUACAGGCGAAAUUGCAAAUUAAGGAAAGUUUUAUUUUGGACGGUUGAGAAUUGAGAUACAAAUUGUCAAAUUUCAC
rnacentral:misc_RNA from 1 species